GGGCAGACCAAGCAAGGCACGGGACACACAGAGGAAAUCCGAUCGUGUCCAACCCUGAGCAAGCUGAUGAUCCUCGAGGAGAGGGGGCCGGUAAGAGUGAGCUGAGCGGGAGCCCUCUCCGGGAGAGCUCAGGAGAGCGCAGCCAAGAAAAUGCAGGCCAGGGCUCACUCCGCCCUCUGGCCUGCUGCACCCUUCCCCAGCCUGACAGCCCACAGAGCCCGCUCACGUGUGACCGCCUCCCCCCCCCCCCCCCCCCCCGGGGCUCUCUGGCGCCUCCGUGCCCAUAUGAAGUCUUGCCCUGUGCUCACUGCUUGAGCCAUGCCGCUACCAUGGCUCGCUGCUUGCAGGAGGAGAGAGAGAACAGUACAGAAGAAGAUGGGCUUUGGGGUCAGGCAGGAUUCCAUGCCCCUAUUCCCCUAUUCCCCUAUUCCGCCUGCCGUUUGGUAACUGUGACCCAGGCGAGUAACAAGCUGUCCUCAGCCUCAGCUCUCUUAGCUUUUAAGAAAUCUGCAGGGGGGAUGCUGUGGGUUCACUGCACGGUUCCAGGGCACGGGCACACGGGAAGACCGCCUCUGUCUGCUUCCGUUGCAGCCGAGGUGGUGCCAGACCUGGCUGUGGAGACUCUCCCACAUGAUCGUCUUUGCACAAGCAAGAAAUAAAACUUCAGUGUGUUAAGCCACUGAGUAUUUGCUACCCCGGCAGAGCACACAGCCUGUCCCUACCCAAGUAGGAAUUUCGCUUGCAACACUGGUCGUCUGUUAAUCUACAGCACAGUCACUGUCAAAGGAAGGGCCUCAUUUUUGACGGUUUUGUAAGAAGUUCCCAGCAGGAAAGGAAAAAAGAAAGUUCACAAAAAGAAAGGAAAUGGACCCAUAUUUUAAAUCACUAGUUGCUACGGUGAUCUGUGACCGGUGAUCUUUGCUGUUACUAUUGUGACUGUUCUGGGGCCCCACGAACCGCACCCACACAAGACGGUGAACUUAGCAACUGCUGGGUGUGUUUGACCGCUGCACCUCCCUGCACAGCAUCUUCCUGUCCUCGGCAAACGUCACUGUCGUCGUAUCCUAGGAAACGGCCACGGCCACCCCCUCCUUCAGCGACCACCGCCCUGAUCAGUCAGCAGCCACCAACAUGGAGGCAAAGACCCUCCACCAGCAGAAGAUGACUCACCGAGACCUUCGACAGUGGUAGGCAGUUUUUGCAAUAAAGCAUUUUAAUAUUAAGGUACGUAUGCUUUUUGGACCUAAUGCUAUUGCACACUUAACAGACUACAGUGUAGUGUAAACAUAACUUUUUUCUGAUGUUUAUUUAUUUACUUUUGGGAGACAGAGCGCAAGCAGGGGAGGGGCAGAGAGGGAAACAUAGAAUCCGAAGCAGGCUCCAGGCUCCGAGCUGUCAGCACAGGGCCCGACGCGGGGCUUGAACCCACGAGCUGUGAGGUCGUGACCCGAGCCGAGGUCGGAUGCUUAUCUGACUGAGCCACCGGGCACCCCAUAAACAUAACUUUCACAUGCACUGGGAAACCAAAACAUUCACGUGAGGUGCUCUGUCAUGAUAUUUGCUUUAACGCAACAGUCUGGGACCGAACCCGUGAUAUCUCAUAGGUGUGCCCAUACGGUGUGCCCAGUGUGUGCCUCCAUCACUGCUCCUAGGACAGCUAGGACUUGUCUCCACUUGAGACAGCUCCUGGCGGGAGAAAGCAGGUCUCGUGACCCCACAGUCUACUCCGGCUACUGUCUUUAGAAGUAAAUUCCUCCGGUUCGCCCCUCUGGGCUUAAUAACACCUGCAUACUUCCAAAAGCAGGAGGCAGGAUGUCUUACUUUCCCAUCACCCCCAACUCAUCCUUGGGGCCCGCUCACUCCAAAGACUCCAGUUCUCCGAAGUUCGUCCCUCCUCCCUACCUCCUGUGCUUGGCCACCCGCCUGCCCUCACUGGCCCUGCGAAAGCCUCCCCUUCAAGCCCAUCCUUCCUAGAGCUGACUGCAUCGCUCCCUGGCUCAAAAUCUUCCCUCGAGUGUGAGAUAAAGUCCAAACUCCCUUAGCUUGCAGACGAAGCUCUCCAUUAUUUGAAACACAGACGAAGGCGAAACUUUCAGCUCUGCUCCUUCCUUUUUUCCUGUGUGACCUUGAGCAAGUGACCUAAGCUCUCUGGGGCCGGAUUCAUCCACCCUAACACAGGGAGGAGGAUUAGGUGUCUCAAGUGCCGGGCAGCACUGGCACAUGACGACGGGGAGGGAAGGAUGGUCAUCGCAAUCAAGCGGCUUCCGUAAGUGCCGUGGGGGUCGCCACUUUCCACGUGUAAGACCAGCUUGAGCUUUUGGCCGUAGUAAUGGUUUCACAGUAACAGACACCAAACACCGAAUUCACUUGGAGGAUCUCAUUCCUGGAGAAGGGGAGUGGAGCGGGUGUGAGGGAACAGGUGUACGACCGAACUCUGGAGAGAAGUGCCCCCCGCUUUGCACGUGAGUAAACCCGCUGCGUCCGUGGCAGUGAGCGAUGCCACGGACCGUGCCUGCUUACACCAAACGGAGGGAUUUCGUCUCUGAGCCACAUGGCUGAGGCUGCUGACCGUUUGGCGUAAGGCUUACGGUUGCUAAGCGAUGCCGUACCUCUCUCAAGUAGUGUGUCACGAACCCGUCAAUGAUUCCGUCCUGUUCCAGGGCUAUGAUGAGGUUCACCACACUGGUAAAUCCGAACACUGCAUACACUAGAGCAAAGAAAGCGAGAGUUUCCUUUUUAAUUAAGAAAACAUGUUUUGUAAGUAACCUCCACCCCCAACCUGGGGCUCAAACCCACAACCCUGAGAUCAAGAGUAGCGCGCUCCACUGACUGAGCCGGCCAGGUGCCCCAAGGAAGCAGUAGUUUAAAAAGCAGUAGGUCAGGAGGGGGCGCCUGGGUGGCUCAGUCAGUUAAGCAUCUGACUCUUGAUUUUGGCUCAGGUCAUGAUCUCAUGGUUGUGGGUUCGAGCCCUGCAUCCGGGCUCUCUGCUGACAGUGCAGAGCCUGCUUGGGGUUCUGUCUCUCCCUCGCUCUCUGACCAUCCCCGGCCCCUAAAAAAUAAAUAAACAAACAUUAAAUUGAAAAAACAAAAAGCAGUAGGUCAGGAGACAAUGACUAAGAGCUUGGCAUUCACCAGUAACAGUGACUUGUUUUUAAUGUGACUGUGGACACUCAUCAUGGGCUAACAGAAGGUCCCUCCUGCACACACAUUGGUACCUUUGCCUGUGUCACUGCCCAAGUGCCCUGUCCAAGGAGACACCCGCCAGGGGGACAGAAUGGCAAACUCACCCGCUAACUGUCCCACAGGAUUCUACCAGGCCCCCCCAUCCGUCCUCCGCUCCCUACAAGUGGCUGCCCAGGACCCCACCUGCACAGAGGGAACAAAACCAGUAACCAGUGGCCAAGAAUAGAGGCGACCACGAGGGCCGGCCGGAAACCCUCAGACUGAGCUCCAGGGAGCCACGGGAGUCACAACCGCACGGACGUUUCAGGAGGACAAGGAAGGAGGGCCGGGUGGAAGAGCUGGGGCCCGACCUGCGGCCAGAGUGAAGCCAGCUCCCCACACCCAAGGCCGGCAAGCCGGCGUCCACCCCACACCCGGGAGCUAAGGCUUUCGUAAAAGGUUUGGUGGGAAGGAAGUUUCAACUAAUCCAACUAUUUCAAACCUAACUGAAUGUCUGCUGUGCACAAGGCCCUGUGCUGGGCAAGACAAUACUCAGUAUAUUCCGUUUCAGACCAGCCACCUUUCAAGGACUCAGCAGCCACGAGCACAAGUGGCAUCUGUAUUGGACUUACCCCUCCUGUCAUGCUGACCCGGAUUCAGUUGCGCUCUCUGCUGGCUGCUGUUAAGAAUGGGUG